rnacentral:lncRNA from 1 species
GACAGGGUGUCCAGAGGAAACUCCCUAGGGUUUCUUUUCAAAACCGAAAAUCCGGCACCUCCCGUGAGGCUCGAGGUGCGGCAAGGCCACGUUCUGUCUCGGACGCCUUUCUACGGCUGCUGUCUACGUGGCAUCGCAAAGCUUCAGACAAGGCCAGCCUUCCCGUUCUCGCCGCCUUUUCGGCUUCUUUGCGAGGCACUUACCGAGGCGCAGAGGCGUGUGGAAGGAACUGCCUUGUCGGCCACGCAAACCCACUCCUUGGUUUUCUUGUCCUUCUCUCUUCCAAAUCCGACCGGACAGAUAAACUGCACAUUCGCGUACUCGAGGCGCUCACAGAAGCCAGCCUGGACAGCGGGAAGGGGCGCGCCCACGACCAGCGGAGACGCGCUGUCUCCUUUUCGGGAGCCCAGGUGUGGGGCGACAAUCUCCCUGGCGCUCUGGGGAGGCAACUCGCGUUCUGGCAGCCGGUACCCAGUCGGGCAGGUCCAGCCCGGGGUCUCUUUCAGCGUCAAGACGCACUUGCCAGUCGCUGCCUGGAGCUCCGACCCCUCGCUGCAGAGGGCGACGCUCGGCGCGAAUUCUUUGCGCAUACAUCGCGCGUCGCCAAAGGCCGCCGACGAAGGCCCUGCUGAGUGCGGAGGAGACGAAGGCGGCGAGCCGUCGGCGCAGACGAGAGUGACGGGUUCGACGUCCACCUGGGGACAAGCACAGACACAAGGAUGCGGCGGAGAGGGGGCGGCUGCUUGACUUGGGAUUCGCGUGUCGGGGGGUGUCCAGGGAGCACGCAGGAGAAGAGAGGAAAAGAGAGGGAGAAAGAGAGAGAUGAAGACAGCAACUGCCCGACGGCGCAGACCGAGGCAGAGACGAACGAGCCAGAAGACGCGACACAGGCAAGAGGCAUGCAGAACGCGGCAGAAGGCGAGAGAACGCGGCAGAAGGCGAGAGAAGGCGAGAGAAGGCGAGAGGUGGUGGCGAGACGGCAGUGAGACACAAACGCACAGGGCGUUUGGAGAGAAGAGACGCGCUCAAAAGGAGCGUUUUUGACCUGGACAGACGUGUGAAGCGAGGCGCACACACACGCGUCAGGAAGUGAGAGAGAGCAGAUCAGCAGACGAGCGGGAACUGUGGCGAAUCACUCGAGUGUGUGCCAUUCCCGCCACAUAUGCAAGUGUCUCGAUCUGCAGGCCCUUGUAACACGCGUGGGGAAAACGAAAGGAACGCGAGACGAACCGUCAGAGGGCGUGGGGUCGAGACCGUUGUGUGUUCCAAACCGGGGAUUCACCUACUUGUUCACAGCGAGGUGUGAAAAAAAGAUCAUCGACAACCUGACCAGAGGGGCAUCUGAGAAUCGGCUUCUUCGUGCGGACUUCGACACACUCCUCCCUCGCCCCCAGCCCUUCCUUUCCCCGCCCUCGAGGUGCCGAGCCAUUCUGCGAGCAUUCUCCCGGCAGGACGGUCGGCGCGACGACGAUGUGCUCUCUGCAGACGAGGCCAGACUCGGUCGCCUUAGUGAACGCGGACGAAAAGGGCGCGUGUCCUGCGCGUUCGCGGAGAGCCUCCCCUUGAGGCGAGACCCACGCCGCCUUUUGUGGCGAUUCGAACAAAGACGACAGCUGCCGAGACGGGGGCGGAGAGCGGUGAAGCGGCAGGGGGGCCUGAGGCGUGUGUGCUUCCGCCGUCUUGGAAACCGAACUGGACGACGUCGAGGUCCCGGACGGCGAGCGACCGUCUCGGGAAUGCGACACGAAACUUCCGGAGCCUUUGAGAGGCUGCGAACGUUUCCACCGGUCUGAGGACGAAAGUUGGAACGGGGAGUCGAGAAGAGUGGGGGGCCAUUUCCGCUCCUGUCGCUUCGUCUGAGACUCGUGAGGCUCCGAGUUCUGACCAGCGCCCUCGUCGCUCGCCUCCAGGCGUCUCGCUUCACGACCCGCGUCGCUGUCCCCCACUUGCCCGCCUCGGCGCGGGCCUGGGGCGCCAAUGGGGGACGAGAGGGCCCGUUUCCUUCCGGUCUCAGGCGAGACCUUCGCCUCGCCCCGCUGCUCCAGAGUCUCGCCUUCGACAGCCGAGGGAGGCGCGCUGUCCGGGGACGCCAGCGCUUCCCCGACCUCGUCUCGCUUCGCCCGUUUGUCCCUCUGCUCUCUCUCUUUUCGCUCGUCUUCGGUCCCCGAACUCCCCGAGCCACGCCCCAGGCCCCCGAGCGGCCGCCGAAGGUUCAGCAUCUUCAGGCGCGAGGGAAACGCUGAAUUUUGUUCCCCUUCAUCAAACGAAGACGCAGUCGACGGAGAGGAACCAGGAAAAGCAUCAGAGAACAGGUCUUCGGCGGCAAGAGUGUCUGGGGAGGCAAAGUGCUGCUUACGGGCUGGCCCUUUUCCGGAGUCGGAGGAAGGCGAGGAACGGGUUUCCUCGAAGACAGGCGACGGAGUAUCGAGAUCCUCUGCCGAAAGGGCCGAAGGAAAGCCGUGGAUGUUAUCAGGGAGACGCGACGGCGAAGCGUGUGCGGCCGCCGUGCCUCGGUGCUCUUCGAGGGCAAACAGGGAUACUAACUCUCCAUUUUCGCAGCCCAGUUCUGGCGGGCGCACCUCAACAGUUGCGCACUCCUUGGCUUGGCCCUGGACCGUCCGGGCUUUGCCUUCCGUCUCGAAGUUCCCCAUUCCCGGGGCGCGUCGCUCCGAAAACGCGGCCUGCUGCAUCGCUCGGAAGCCAGUGUCCCAGACACGUCCCCUUGUGAAGGCACCUGCAGCUUUCCAAGGGUCGGAGUCUUCUUCUUGUUCGGCUCGCUCGCCGUUUUUCUCCGGCCACCAGCUUUGCGCUCCUCCAUCCUUGCUUUCCGGCUGCAGAGUCUGGAGGUCCUCGUCCGUGUCUCCGGGACACAGGUAGGUGGGUUCUUCCUCGAGCGUGCACUUUCCCGUUUCCUUGAUGAAUUUCCAGCCUUCUCGACAGAUCGGAGUCGCCGCGUUGGCCUGGACGCGACGGCACAUGUCGUCCCACCGGCUGUAGACGAAUCCGGCGGGGCAGGCGGGUGUCGGGUCGGAGAGGGUUUCCCGGACGCAUGCCUCGUCGACCAGCCGGGAGUCGCCGUCUGGGCACACCAGAACGGGAGGCGGUUUCCGCUUGGAAAUGCACUCCAAAAUACCCGUCGCUGGGUCUGGCGAGAGCUCCCAGUCUUCUUCGCAGACGGGAACGGGAUCGACGAGCAGUCGCCGCUCGCACUGAAGGGGAACCUGCGUAGGCGAGACAUCCGGAACCAAAAUCUGUCCCCAGGCGGAAACAAAGCGCGAAUCGACAGAAAGAAGACGGACGAAAAAGAGACGAGAAAGUGACGGGGAAAUGUGCACUCAGGUACGGUCCGAGACCGCGCUCGUCCUGUCUGCGGAACGGACGGUAAAUUGCACAUGCGCAGGAUGGACUGACAAGCAAUGGGAAACCGUUCUAACCUGCUCGGCGUUGAGUUCGAAGCCGGGUGGACAAGACACUGCCGGGUCCUCGGCACCGUGGGAAACACAGAGGGCGAGAGUGGCGUCGAAAACGCCUUCUUUGCACGUUAAAAGCGGUUCCGUUUCGGUCAGUUUAAUGCACUCCGACUCGGAUCCGUGUUGGAACAACUGGAAAGCGUGCGUAGGGCAGAACGGAACUGCCUGGAUCAAGUCCCGGCGCAGGCAGCCUUUCUCGUAGGGUUGGUAGCCUGACAAAGCAAGGGGACAGGGAGGGGGAGCCUUCGCUUCACAACAAACAAAGCUCGUUUGCGGCACUCUGUGCACCUUUCGAGGACCGAGAGCGGGGAAACACUGCGCUGCGCGACACAAACCUUCGCCCAGAGCAGACAAAAAGACGCCAGAAAAAACAGCCGUGUCCAGGUCACUGAAAAGACGGACUGCCCACGCAAUUCUUCACCGCAUUCUCAGGUAGCAUUUGUGUGUGUGUGUAUAUAUAUAUAUAUAUAUAUAUGCGCACAUGCAUGGAUGCAUACGCACGUAUUCACAUACAUCAGUGUAUUUUUGAUACAUGUGAUCUACGUGGUAGAUGCAUGAUCAUGGUACACGCGUAAUACGGCGUUGCAUGCAUGGACUGGGAUGGAUGUGUUGCUUCCACAAGUGAAAUCCUCUUUAAUAACACGUCGUUAUCCCGGCAGCGUCGUUGUCUCCUGCAGUCGCCUUUCCUCGAUAAUUAACCAAAAUCGUUUUGAGGGUUUGUCCGUGAGUUGGAGAGUGACGCUUUCACUCACCGGCAGGACAGGUUCUCUCUGCGGGGACUUUGUCGACAGAAAUGCAGUUGCCGUCUUCAUUCAUAUAGGAUCCAUACGGACAGGAAGGCUGAAGACAAAAACAGUCCCGCGAAACUACUGCCGAUCAGAAGAACCUCCAACGAGGACGCAGAAGACGGCCCCGCUGAUGCGAAGAGCACUCCGGGAAGGAACGAAAGGCAAGGGCCGGACUUUUUCGAGUUCGACAAACGAGCGGAGAGGUUCGAGGGACGCGUUGAUGGGUUUGGGAGGGAUUCCAGGGAAGGCAGCGAGUGGUGCCCGCAGUUGCGGCUGUUCGGUAGACCGGGAGAGACGGAAUUCGGAAACGGUCGAACCCGUGCCCCUGCAGACGGUUCUCGCGCCUUCAGAGGCACCCACUCAUGACCACUGGAACGAGGAAACGGAUCCAUUGGCAUUGCAACUUGCUUAUUCAGGAAAAGGAAAGACAAAGAAAGUAAAAGAAGCAGACAGAGAGUUCCGAGUGGCGCGCUAGCCAAACUUUGAGGAGCCGCACCGUUUAUCAGUUUCAACCUCUCGCUUUUGUGUGGAGAAGGAGGAGACGACACAUGAGAAGAACUACUGUGCGGCAGCGCGUGGAAGGUUGACACUUCGCUUUUCGCGCUUUGCGUGUUGACGUUUUCACGAGUUCCUAGGUUCGCCUUCCCGGAAAAAGGACUCGGCACCACCAUCGGCUGUUUCCUGGAAGGACAGGAGGGGGACGAGUCGAAGGCGUUCGACUCCUGCGCCAUGGUCUCUUCAGUUGCUCCUUUAUCAGCUGCCUGAAACGAUCCGCAGCGAGUUGAGAGACUCGCGAGGCAGAGACAACUUGUGCUUUAGAGGCACUUUUGCGGAGAGUCACAGGCGACGGCGGUAAAGAAACACAACAAGUGGGCACUUUGCAACUCGCAAUUUCUGCCCGGCCUGACGUGACAGUGGAAACCUGUUCUCACACGGUCCUUCGCGGACGCGCUUGCUCAAUUCAUGCCAAAAACACUCUCGACCUGUACAAACGCAUACAUUUACUCGCGCGCAUACCUAACCGAAACCUUACAAUGUACAAGAAUACACAUAUGUAGAUCCAUUUAGCUGCGGUAAAAUCCGGGAGCCUGAGUUCGUCGACUUCCCACAGAAAGACGAUUUGAUUGAGGAAACGAUUGCGUCUCAGGAGUCUCAUGAAGUGGCGGAUCGCAAAUGCGUCGUUUUGCGUUGUUGGAAAAACUUUGGAACCGGAUUCACGCAGGUACCAGCAUCUAUUUACCAGCGUUGAGAGUGAUCCAUGUGUAAAACUAUUCGUGUAUACACAUACGGAUGCAGACGCAUGAGGUAAAUGGAAAUACA